rnacentral:lncRNA from 1 species
GGUGAAAACUCUCUGCUCAUUCGUAAGCAGUGGGUGAGAAACGGAGAGAAGAUAUUUGAAAUAAUUCCCAGGACAACUAGUCCGUGACAUCUUCAUGCUGACAAUCGUCUCUCACCUGGUUGUCAGCGGUCUCAUUGACAAUCAUUACCAGACAGAUCUGACAAGGUCAGGGCUCUCUGAGGACGUGGGAAAUCUUCCUGUGAUAGAAGAGGGCAUCUGGCCGUUCCUGUUUUUUGGCAAAGUAGAAACCCUUAUGAGGUCAGUAUGGGUCUUUUUUGUUUUUACCAAAUGACCUUGGUCUGGGAAGCCACUUAAGUACAAAGGUCAAAUUCUAAUUUUUCUUUUUGAAAUAAUUUACAUGAUUAGUAAAAGACAUUAACAGAGAAGGUCUGAAAAAGCAGGCUGAACCAA